AGCGCCUCAUCCGGUCGGAUGAGGCUGGACCUCCUCCCCGAUAGGGAUCCAGGCUGCCCCGAACUCCUCUCUCUCUGAUUGUUAUUUUUUCUGAUUUUUUCUUCCGUCCUGGCUCUGGGGGGCUCUGGCAGGUGCUUUUGUUUUUUUUCUCUUCCGACGGUUGGUGUCUACAGCGGUGUUGCAGUUCAAGGCGUGUGGUUAUUUGUUUUCUUACUCAUUUGAAGGUGGCGCUGAUCUGGAUUGGUGCUACUGCCGACCUUUCCCUCUCUGCUACAAUUCCGGUGGACGUGCAGUUGGUGGAGGCUCCGAGCGGCUGCAUCCUCUUCGGUUCUGUGAUCAGCGUGGAGUUACUUGCGAGCGAAUACGGUUGCGACGCUGGUUACCAUAUUCUAGAGCUGCUGUUGGCGCCUGCAUCACGACUAGGUCUUCUUGAAUUUUUUGUUCUCACUAGAGUGCGGAGAAGUGGGUGCUCGUCAUUUGGUUGGAGUCUGCUGCGGCACGGCAAUCUACCACUCCUUCAUCGGGUUCUCCUUCAACUGGCUUCGCACGGUGCUAUGGAAACCCAGCUUGCAUAACGGUAGAGCCUUCGUCAACAGCGGGGUGAAUGUUUUGAGCAUCUAGGAUACUCUUACAUGCUGAUGCUUCUCAAUUUGGCAGCUUGUGCAUUCCAAUCCAAAAUGCGUUGACCAUUGGGGAAGUUGUUCACAUCCAAAAGGGGUUACUUGAGUCAACGUGUGCUUAACAGCGUCUAAAAAGAAAUUUAGCUUCCGAUUGUCCAAAACCAGAUUUGCAUCUAAAAUGCUUUACUGGAUCCAGUAACAACUGUUAAAUUGAUAUUUGGUUACUAAUGGUGGAUGCUAAGUAUUUGGUUACUUUUUAAGACCAUUGCAUGGUUUAGAUUUAUCUUAAAUAUUAAAAUUAGAUCAUGUGAAGUAAUAAAAUUAUAGGUGUUUCCAAGGGACAAUUUAGUUUAUAUCCAAGUAUAUGUAUAUAAUAUAUUCUUCCAUAUAAUACAAAAAUAUAAUUAAGAAUUCUGAUUCAA